rnacentral:tRNA from 2 species
GGGGGUGUAGCUCAGUUUGGUUAGAGCGCUGGCCUGUCACGCCAGAGGCCGCGGGUUCGAGUCCCGUCACUCCCGCCA